rnacentral:rRNA from 1 species
UACGUAGGUGGCAAGCGUUGUCCGGAUUUAUUGGGUUUAAAGGGUGCGUAGGCGGCCCUGUAAGUCAGUGGUGAAAUACUCCAGCUUAACUGGAGGGGUGCCAUUGAUACUUCAGGGCUUGAGUGGAGUCGAAGUAGGCGGAAUUGACGGUGUAGCGGUGAAAUGCUUAGAUAUCGUCAAGAACACCGAUAGUGAAGACAGUUUACUAGGCUUCUACUGACGCUGAGGCACGAAAGUGUGGGGAUCAAACAGG